CAUAUAACUAAGCGGAGGAAAAGAAACUAACAAGGAUUCCCCUAGUAACGGCGAGUGAAGCGGGAUGAGCUCAAGCUUAAAAUCUCCAUAGGAGUUUCCUGUGGCGAAUUGUAGUCUAUAGAGGCGCUGUCAGUGCGGCUGUUUGGGAUAAGUCUCUUGGAAAAGAGCAGCAUGGAGGGUGAUACUCCCGUUCUUGCCUGAGCAGCUUGCGCGUACGACACGUUUUCUUUGAGUCGCGUUGUUUGGGAAUGCAGCGCAAAGUGGGUGGUAAAUUCCAUCUAAAGCUAAAUAUUGGUGCGAGACCGAUAGCGAACAAGUACCGUGAGGGAAAGAUGAAAAGAACUUUGAAAAGAGAGUUAAAGAGUACCUGAAACUGCUGAAAGGGAACCGAAUCGUUUCCAGUGUCUAUAAUCCGUAGCAUAUUUCAUUGGCGAGUGGAUGCGUGCAGUGUUUUGACAGCGGCUUGCUGCGUCAUGCAUUGUUCUGCGUUUACUUGCUGGUGCCCUGUGUUGCGGUGGGACGUCAGAGUCAGUUCGUAUGCUGCGGGAAAUGGUCAUCGAGGAGGUAGGUGCUUGCACUGUUAUAUCUCGGUUGACUAGUCGUCGUGGUUGGGACUGAGGUGCCUACAAUGUGCUUUAACGUCUUGCGGAUGCUUAUCUGAUCAACUGCUCUGAUAGCUUGCUAUGUUUGCGGUUUGGUUGGGUGAUUGUGUUUGUAAGUAACGUUUGCCGUUCGGGACUUUGACGAAAUGGAGCGAUCCGAC
rnacentral:rRNA from 1 species